AUGAUGGGGGAUCCUAUGUACCCACCCUCAACCAUUCAUCAAAAGGACUGUAAAGGUGGGAAUUCUCUGAACAACCAGGGGCAGUUUCCACGGGAUGAAAAAGGGCAUACUAGUGGAUGAUGGGAGUAUUGACAUUAACCUGUUGUAUUCACUGUAUUACACAUUUUUGUCAGUUUUCCAUUUCAAGUACUGGUGGUUUUGAUUUUGUCUGGAU
ensembl:lncRNA